GAGCAGGAAUCAGACCUACCACUCAAAGCACUCUCUUGUGGAUAUAAGCUGUGCUUCUGCUAGGAGGAUUUGCCAAAACAGAUAUACUGGCAAAGCAGCUAAGGUGAGAGGAAGCCAAGAAUUCCAAGUUGUCUGUGACAUACUGCCUUUGUCACUGGACACCCUGCCACUGAUGAGGACCAGCUCCUGCCUUUUGCUCACCACUACAAAUGCCAUUGCCUUGAGAAUUACUGACAUUGUCACUGAGGGGGCUAUAGUUGUAUUAUGGAGAAAUCCAGAACUCAGAGCCAAUUCAUCUGUUUUGCUCUCCCGGGAACAGUGAUGUUUAUUUUGAAAGGAAUCUUUCAGUGAUGUUUUCCAAUUAAAAAAAAAAAAACAAAACCAACCCUGAAACAAUUCUUAUCCUGCAGGGCUUAUUGUAUUACAUGUAAGACCACUUAAGCAGUAAAUUAAUCUUGAUAUUAAAGCUAGAAUCCUGGAUUUUUACAUGACUUCCCUGCUUUGCUACAACCCUCUGCUCAGUGCUGUACAUGAGUUUUGCCUUCUU